UUUGAUUCAUGCUCAGAUUGAACGCUGGCGGCAGGCCUAACACAUGCAAGUCGAGCGGAUGAAGGGAGCUUGCUCCUGGAUUCAGCGGCGGACGGGUGAGUAAUGCCUAGGAAUCUGCCUGGUAGUGGGGGAUAACGUCCGGAAACGGGCGCUAAUACCGCAUACGUCCUGAGGGAGAAAGUGGGGGAUCUUCGGACCUCACGCUAUCAGAUGAGCCUAGGUCGGAUUAGCUAGUUGGUGGGGUAAAGGCCUACCAAGGCGACGAUCCGUAACUGGUCUGAGAGGAUGAUCAGUCACACUGGAACUGAGACACGGUCCAGACUCCUACGGGAGGCAGCAGUGGGGAAUAUUGGACAAUGGGCGAAAGCCUGAUCCAGCCAUGCCGCGUGUGUGAAGAAGGUCUUCGGAUUGUAAAGCACUUUAAGUUGGGAGGAAGGGCAGUAAGUUAAUACCUUGCUGUUUUGACGUACCAACAGAAUAAGCACC
rnacentral:rRNA from 1 species